UAGAAGGUGGUGUAGUGGAAGCACCAAGAGCUUUGAUCUCUUAAGGAUGGGUUCAAGCCCCUUUCUUCUAA
rnacentral:tRNA from 1 species